CUCUUCCUUCUUCCCUUCUCCUCUCUUCUUUCUCUCCUCUUCACCUCUCUUCUUCCCCCGCCUCUCCCUCAAUGGUGACAAUAAUAAAAAACAAAAAAAAGGUAAACAGAAACUCAGAUUUAUUUUUUUAGCUCUCUAUUUUUUCGAUUUAACCAGAUUCCGGCUUUCAUGUCGUCGUCGGAUACCUCUGGCGAGUCCUCCGAUGACAUGCAAGCCCCACUCUGUAGAUUUAGGGUUUGAUUUUUUCGUUUAAACAGCUUUUGUCUGACUUGUGUUAUUUUGAUUUCAUUCACUUUUUUGGGGUUCGGAGUCGGGAGGAGAAGAGGUAGGAAAACAAAAGAAAGAAAAAAAUAGAGUUGCCAUCGACGGCAAAUUCGCCGACAGGUGAAGAGGCAGACGAGAAAGGUAAAAUAAUUCAAUUUUUUCAUUUGCUCUAAUUUUGCUUGUUAGACGGUGAUAGUUUUGUUGUUGAUUAAGUUGCUAGAAGUGUUCGAAAACUUGACUAUUUGGUCUAUUGAAACUAACUGGUAAUGCAAGGGUUUAUAAAGAUGAUUUGCAACUACAUUUAACAAAAAAUCACUUAUUUUAGCUCGAUUUUUAUGAAUAGUCUUGUAGUUAUUGUGUUAUCGGCGUAAAUGGUGAUAGACUGUCAUUUUUAUAUCUUUAUAUCAUACUUUUAGCAAUCUAUCUUAAGUGAAGAAGUUUUACUUUAAUUAUGAGUUUUCGUUUGCGUAAGUGAAUUACUUUGUCAAUUUUUAUCCUCUUUAGCAAAUUUCCAGCCUUAUUAAUUUGAUGAAGAUGUCUAUUUUACUGGCAAAGUCAUUAUUAUGAUUACUUAGACUAUUCUCCUUUAGCAUUGAGUCCAUGAGUCAUUAGUUUUAAGCCCAUCCUUCAAAUAAUAAUAUAAAGAGUCUUUUAACUCAAUGCCUUAACCAUGUGAAAGGAAACAUAAAUGAAUGGUACGGGAAUGAAUGAAAUAAGAUAAGUUUUUGAACAACAUACCACUAAUACGAGACUUUCCUUAUUUUUAGGUGGUCAUGACGUCUUCUCGUUUCCUAUCUUUUGGGAUGUUCGAGCUUCCUCCUUCGACGGCUUUUAGGCGGGUGGCGACGGAAGUGGGAUUCUCUUUGGGAUUUGGUAGGUAUUCUUUUUAUAUUUACCGUGAUGGAGAGACGAUUCCAGAAACUUUGGGAGUUGGGGAUUGGAUUUUAAUAUAUAGAAAACUACAUAGG
rnacentral:lncRNA from 1 species